GACGAACGUUGGCGGCGUGCUUAAUACAUGCAAGUCAACUGAAGCAGUGGUAGCAAUAUCGCUGUGGAGGUGGCGCACGGGUGAGUAACACGUAGGUAAUCUGCCUUCAGGUCUGGCAUAACUCCGGGAAACCGGGGCUAAUAGCAGAUGAUGCAGCGGCUCGACAUCGAGACAGUUGUUAAAGCUAUGGCGCCUGAAGAUGAGCCUGCGUCUGAUUAGCUAGUUGGCGGGGUAACGGCCCACCAAGGCAACGAUCAGUAGCUGGUCUGAGAGGAUGAUCAGCCACACUGGAACUGAGACACGGUCCAGACUCCUACGGGAGGCAGCAGUAAGGAAUAUUGCCCAAUGGGAGAAAUCCUGAAGCAGCAACGCAGCGUGAGGGACGAAGGGCUUUUGCUUGUAAACCUCUGUAGUGAGAGAAAAAAAUCCCAAUCUUUGGGACAUGAUGGUAUCUCAAAAGUAAGCCCCGGCUAACUACGUG
rnacentral:rRNA from 1 species